GCGGCCGCUCGCGCGCAGCCCCGCACCUCCGCCCCUGCCUCUGCCUCCUGGGCCAUGCCCUGCUGUUUACAUGCCGGUGAGGUCCCCGGCCGCUCCGAACCCCUCCGAGCCCCGGCUCCCCGAGGGUGAAGCCCGCCGGCCCGCGAACUGGACUGGUGGAUCUCUCAGACCUGGGGCCCCGGACUCCGAUCUCCGCCGUCUCCGCCACCAUCAGGGCGGGAUCCGGCUCUGGUGUUUUGAGGAGGGGGUGUGGUGUAGGGAAAGGAAUCCCGUCCCUCUCCACCUUUUUUCGCCUUCGGGGCUUCAGACUCAGGGAACUCGCUCAUGGCUUUCUUGAUGAAGAAGAAGAAAUUCAAAUUCCAAACUACUUUCACCCUGGAGGAGCUGACUGCGGUUCCCUUCGUGAACGGGGUCCUCUUCUGCAAGGUCCGGCUGCUGGAUGGAGGGGAUUUUGUCAGCUUGUCGUCAAGGCCUGCAGGAGACAUUUCCAUCCUGCUUCUGCUACUUGCUGCCUGUGUGACCUUGGGCAAGGGACU
rnacentral:lncRNA from 10 species